GAUGAAGAACGUAGCGAAAUGCGAUAAGUAAUGUGAAUUGCAGAAUUCAGUGAAUCAUCGAAUCUUUGAACGCACAUUGCGCCCCCUGGUAUUCCGGGGGGCAUGCCUGUUCGAGCAUCAUUUCACCACUCAAGCCUCGCUUGGUAUUGGGCAACGCGGUCCGCCGCGUGCCUCAAAUCGACCGGCUGGGUCUUCUGUCCCCUAAGCGUUGUGGAAACUAUUCGCUAAAGGGUGUUCGGGAGGCUACGCCGUAAAACAACCCCAUUUCUAAGGUUGACCUCGGAUCAGGUAGGGAUACCCGCUGAACUUAAGCAUAUCAAUAAGCGAGGA
rnacentral:misc_RNA from 1 species